GACGAACGCUGGCGGCGUGCUUAACACAUGCCAGUCGAACGGAAAGGCCCUGCUUUUGUGGGGUGCUCGAGUGGCGAACGGGUGAGUAACACGUGAGUAACCUGCCCUUGACUUUGGGGUAACUUCAGGAAACUGGGGCUAAUACCGGAUAGGAGCUCCUGCUGCAUGGUGGGGGUUGGAAAGUUUCGGCGGUUGGGGAUGGACUCGCGGCUUAUCAGCUUGUUGGUGGGGUAGUGGCUUACCAAGGCUUUGACGGGUAGCCGGCCUGAGAGGGUGACCGGCCACAUUGGGACUGAGAUACGGCCCAGACUCCUACGGGAGGCAGCAGUGGGGAAUAUUGCACAAUGGGCGGAAGCCUGAUGCAGCAACACCGCGUGCGGGAUGACGGCCUUCGGGUUGUAAACCGCUUUCGCCUGUGACGAAGCGUGAGUGACGGUAAUGGGUAAAGAAGCACCGGCUAACUACGUG
rnacentral:rRNA from 1 species